rnacentral:lncRNA from 1 species
CCUCCUCCUCUCCACUCCUCUCCGAAAAGGACAAAUAAAACGAUCAAUCCAAAGCUUUUUUUUUCUUAAAAAAAAAAAGAAAAAAUGAUGAUAAUGUGAAUUCAAAAUGUAAAACUUUCACCUCCUUUUACGGGAUUUACGGAAACUUCGGCUUAGUGGCUAUACAUUUUGCACUAGAAACUAGCUACCACUUCUUUUACUCUACAUUAAUUAGGUUUAAUUAGGGUCUUUUUAUAUGAUGACCAUCCUAAUUUUAGGUUGUCUUUUGAGAGCAAUAAAUUUUGUUAAAGGACAACAAAUUUGUUUAUUAUGCUAUCAGUUAGCUUGCAUAGGACAAGCUUAGUACGCCAUAGGUUGGACUAGUCAAAGUCUUAAUUCAUAUGUGUAUUUAUUUAAGCAACAAGGAACCAAGAAUAAUUUAUUUUAUGGGCCCUAAUUAAUGCCUCAAUACUUAACUAUCAAACAAUCACAUGAACUAUUAUAAAAUCCAUUUUAAAAAAAAAACAAAAAACGAAAAAACUUAUCUAUUGUAACAAUAAACCAUUUGACAAAUAAAAUGUUUCAAGUAGCAACAUCUUUCUAAUCAUGCCCAGCCUUCUAAAAUUUCUGGGAAAAUUUUUUGUAUCAGCCACAAAAAUGUCGUUUGUUCAUCGUAUUUUCACUUAACACAUUAGUACAAAACACUUUUAUAUCUUAUUAUUUUGUAGUUCUUAAUUAUUAAAAUAUAUUAUGUCUGCAAAAAAUAUAAUUGUUAUAUUCAUUUAGUUUACUCAAAACAGUUUCAAGGUAUAUAUCAUUUUAAUAAUGAAAUUCUAAUUUGUUAUAAAAUGUUAGAAAUCAAACUGCUAAAAAAAUUUAGGAACUAUGUAAGGUUUGAGUGAAAUUAAUGUACAAUGCCGAUCGAGCGUACUGAAGUUUGAGUAUUUAUCCUGUUUUUAAGUUUUCUCAAUUUCUCCAAAUCUAUUUUCUGAAAAAUUAUAUCCGAUGUUACUUUGCGAUUUUAGUGUUGCCAAGUAUUUUUCAUUCUUUUUUCUUUCUUUCUUUUUUUUUUUCUUUUGAGGAGGAGAUUAAUUUCCAACAAAAUUUUCAGAAAUUUCAUAAUAAAAUUUAAUUUUUGUGACAAUGGCAUAAUGGAUUGAGAAGGCCCGACAUAUAUAUUUGUUUGUUUCUGAAGUUUUAGUCGAUAUUAUGAUGAGCAGAUGCUAUAAUAUGUGGUCCACUAGAAUUAUUUAAUUAUACUAUGGACAAGUGUACUCCUACCAGUCGAUAUCCUUCUUGAGAUAUUUUUAUUUUUUACUUUUUUUAUUUUUUUAUUUUUUGUGUUCGUGUGUGUGUGCGCGUGUAAUGAGAACUCAACUCUAGUUGCUUUUGAUGGUUUCUGAUAUGAAGAUAAGAAUUACACUAUGAACUAUAAGCUGCCACAUUUAAAUUCAAGUUCGGUAUAAAUGUUCUCAUUUUCUCUCUUGGAUUUCAGAAAACUCAAUUACAAAACUUGUUUGGUGUUUUUCAUGGCAGAAUUCUGAAAAGUUUGGACAAAAAACAGUAAUUAGUCAUUCAGAUCAAAGUAAAAAACAAGUUCUUUGACUUAAAGAACAAAUACAGAAGAGCAGAGAUCUCCAUCGUAGUACUAACAGAUCUUGUACUAUAUCUCCACUACGGUUGCUGAAUCUUGCAAGCGAAGAACAAUGUUUGUGUACGAAAACUUCGUUUCCUAAGCGGCUGAAUUUUCUAUUUCAGUAGGACCCUCUCCGACUGGCCAAUUUGGUUCAGUGUCUGUUUUGCUGAUCCAAGAAAGAAAAAUGCAUGUUGAGUGAAAUUAUCUGUUGUGAUACACUUAGGAUGUUUCUGAUUUUAGAACAGCUUCGGCUUAUUUCGUAUAGCUUCCACAUAACUCAUAGUUUAAGAUGAAUUAUACUAGUUAGCUGCAGAAGUUAGUUAAGCAGGGAAGCAAAUGUUGAUGUAACCAUCUUUGCGAGUAUCUUAUUUUCAGUCAUGUUAAUCUGUGAGCAAGAUUCAGAACUUUGGAUACUUCUGUAUGUCAGUGUCUAAAGGCAACUGGAAUUUUUGGGUUGCUUAAUCUCUUAUUUUUCGUUGCUGAGAGGUACCGAGUGCAAGGCAUAAUUUCAGAGAUGUUGUAUGUGAAUGCAAUUUCAUUAUAAACUCUAGUAUCUUUUGUAGAUAUUUGUUAUUCAAUAUUUACUGUCGCUUCGAACGUAACAUUGGGUAUCCUUUCAUUCUGUCACUUUAAGUGUGUCCUGGAAAUUCCCUUUUCCUUUGAAAUUGCAUUCUGAUUACUUUCAUGUCUUGCUAUUGUUUUUCCGCCUUUUUUUCCUUCCAUUUUUUCUUUUUUUUAACUACACAGCUUUAAGUAUAGCUAUUCUUCGAGUUUUCAUCCGUAUAACAGCAAAUUUUAAGCUCUACAGUACUUGGUUUUUCCAUUCUUAUCUCUGAAAGUGCUUAUUUUCUUUGUGAAACUCAUGGAUUAGGCGUGUCUCAAGUAAUAGGAUCAAAUCUUCUCCCUCUUGUAGCUUGUAACAAAUUAAACAUGAAUGCGUGCCGACUUAACCCAGUGUCUGAUUUUCCUCAUAUAGGAGAUUCGCUCAAUCGGACAAAUAAGGAAAGGAAACUCGUAUAGAGACAAUAUGAUGGCAUUAACAUUGGCGACAACAGGUUCUGAUGAAAAGAAGUAAAGGGUCAAUUUAAAUUGGGAAUGAUGGUAGAUCAAAUACUCUCGAUUGAGUGGCGGUCAAGUAGACACUAAAGACAACUAAUUAAAUCGAAGAGUACGUAAAUGCAAGGAAGGUAUGUACAAGAAGAUUGAUCUAUCGAAUUACUUGUCGAAAGUUAAGGACACAAAGGUAAACAAACUAGUAUGAGGAAGCAUUGUUUAGUCCUAUACCCUUCAUUAAGAUCAACUACCUACGUUGUACAUUUGUAACAAUGAAUUCGGAUUAGCUGCUACAAGUCAUAUGACAGAAGAUCUGCUGUUUCCUUAUUGAUGUAAGUGGUUAAUUUGAUUUCCUGUCAUAAGAAUCAUGACUGUUGCAGCUAAAUUCCUGAUUUGCCAUGACGCAAGCAGUAAAGAUUUUCUGUAGGAUAGAGUUGUUAAUAGUUUUUGUUUAGUGUCCCAAAUAAUGAAUUUUCUAGUCAAUUGAUUGCUUUGAACUCGGAAUUUGCAGGUGUUACAAGGGGUUUCAAGUACAUUUAUAAAAGAAAAGCACAAUGAACACAAGGACCACUGUAGUAUUGCACCUUAAAAUGGACGGCGUAAUCAUCAAUUUAUCCCCCAAAUUGAAAAUUUGUUUUGCAUUAGACAUGAUAACAUCUCAAUUUAACGCGAAGACCACUGUCUGUCUUAUUGUAGGACUAGAGAUUUCUGCUGCUGGAUGGGUAGCCUAAAUAAUGAAGAAAGUGAUAAUUCCUGCGUAAAAUGUAUUAGAUGGUUUUUGCACUGAAAAAUGGAAAAUUAACAAACUUAAAAUGUUAUUUUAUUCCUACUGUAUUCUACAUCGUUUAUCUUGUGCAUUUCAAUUUCCAUUGUUUGUAGAUUUUCAAUAUUAACUUUUAUCGAUUCUGCAGAUUAAAUAAAGUGUUUACGCUGGAAUAUCAGUGCGUCAAAAAAAAGCGCGCUAUUUGAUCAAUUGAAAAAAAAAAAAAAUUCAAUUGUUUGGCAAAUCAUAAUACAAACUCUUGCAUACUUGAGUUCUUUCUGAUGUACAACUAAUUAUAAUAUCACAGAGUAAUUGUAAAUAAACAGUAUAGAAACAUCUUACUUCACGGUGUUUGUCAUGAUCAUAAGGUUCCUUUUCUUUGGAGCCAUGCUCAAUUUUUGUUGAAUCAUAGUCAAUUUAAUUAUUUAGUGAACUCAUUCUUGUGGAAUCACCAAACAGAUUAGUCAGUGGUAAUUAACUAAUAAUUCACCUUAUGAUCAAAUCCAAUAUCCUCUGAUUAUCAUCCACUCUGAACUAAACUCUACUGCACCAUUCCCCCAUGACACUUCUUAAUUUCAGGAACUAAAUGUAACACUCCACCUAACUUCUUACUAAUACAAACUUCCUCUGCAUUAGCUUCGGAAAGAAGCAUGCUUACAUCCUUAACCUCUCAUGCUCCAGUAUGAAGGGCCUCCAUCCGGAAGGAUCCGGUGCAUUGAACAUAUCGUAUUCCUGAAACGGACGGCUCUGAUGAGUAGGUCCAGAUGCAGCAGUGUAUGGCUUCAUGAUUGAAUUCUGACGAGUAGUUGCAAUCAAUGGUUGGUUGUGGAGGGGAUGGGGUGGCUCUUUAGCCAUUAAUUACUCCCACAAAUUGAGUUUAUUGCAGGAGGCCCCAGAUAUGUUAUCUUCACCUGCAGUGCCAACUGUUGCAUAGCUUUUCAAUGCCAAUGUUUGCUACUAUUCUGUGCACAGGGCAUUUAUUAGGAGGAUAUGUACAUUGUGGGGGGUAUUCAAUUAUUUUUGUCCUGAUAAUGCCAAGGCAUAUGUUGGUUCUUUAGCUCAUUCAAGGUGUGUACAGGUUUUUGAGUGGGUCAGGUUAGAUGUUGAUUAUAAACCUUGCAUCAGGUUACUGCUUUCGAGUUUGAUGCGCAGCAUAUAACUAAAUAACAUGUUUUAAUAGUAGAUCUAUUUAUAAUCAUGGCAUACGAUUUGAAGAAGGCAAUCAGGUAACAGUUGCGAAGAUAUCGAGUUCUUCGAUAUCAUGAGAGAGGAAUGAAAAUGAACUGAGUGAGCAAUAAUUGUUAUCUUUAAUAAUAAUCUAGUGACUCUAGUCCACUAUGCCGAACCACAUAAAUCUUCAUGUGCUAAACCCUUCUCUCAUUCGCAUCUUUCUUUCGUGUUGUUAUACCUCGCUGGUGCAUACUAAGGCCCUGUUUGUUUUGUCAAAAUAAGAUAUCCAAUGAUAGUUUAUUCCUAAUAAAAGUUUUCCUGUGUAAUUGAAAGUUAGUUGUUUGGUUUUUGCUCCUUAAAAAAAAAUAGUAUUAAUGAUUUAGUCGGAUGGUAUAUUUCACUUAGGAAGUAAUUCAUCUUAUUUCAAAUGAAUAAUUUGCAAGUGGAAUACAGUAUUUAUUCAAAACAUUCGAUCACUCUCCUUAUCUACUAAAUAUUACAUGCUUCUUGAAUAAAUCAAAAGAAUAUACCAAAUAAAAUAUUCAUACAUCCAAAAAUGGCUUAAGUAAUUUCGAAAUUGCCACCGGUACAUUCUAUGGUCAUUAUUGCAGGAUUUAGUGAAGAUCCUUCGGAUCCGUUGGUUGUCAGAACAAAGUAUCUGGUGAUAUCUUUUGUUCGUUUGGAAUCUUUUCAUGUUUUUUCAGGGGAGUUUAAUGUUUUCCAACUGUGAAGUCCUCAUAAUUCUUAUUCUCAGCAUAGAAGAUCUUCAAGGUGAUUUAUUAUAAAUAUCUUUCAUUUUCACUUACAAGAUAUUCAUGCAUCCAAAUAAGUUCUUAUAUUUAUCAUAUUUAUUCAAUCAGAACACGAAAACAGAGUAUUUGGACAAAUUUCCUUGUUGUUUUUAAGCUGAAAAAUGAGCUCCUUCUACAGGUUAUUUUUAUGUCCAUGGUGGGUGCCUUUUGUUUUACUUAAAACUAAAAAGCAUAUGAAGUGUACACUAAUUCAAUCCGGGAGAAUGGAUCCCAAAAUGCUACAGAUGUGUAGGUGAAGCAUCCUUCUUUUGUGAGACAGGUUAAUUUUGGGUGGACAUGAUCAAACAUGGUACUCAAUUGUGACCACUAAUGAAUCUUAGGAGGAUUAGAUCCCCAAAAGUGAACAGUUAAGAUGCCCUGUAUCUUUGACUUUCUAAGUGAUUUGACAUUUAAGCCCAUCUACAUGAAUACGAAAUCUUUGAUUGAAAAUAUUAUAUAGUAAUUAAGUUUCACCAGUGAUGAUAAUAUAUAACUAAUAAUGUUCUGCAUAAAGCUUACAUAAAAAGGUGGUUAAGAUAUACUUAUUAAAGUGAUGCAAAUUGCCUGUAAAUUCCAAAGCCACAUAUUCCAUUUAGCUGUGCACAGUACUAAUCAAUGAGCUAUAAAUAAUGCUUUCUUGGUUUUCAUAGUCUAAAGCAAUUAAAUUCAUGGAUCUAUGGGCCUCUGAACUUAGACCAAUUUACUUCGCCAUCUGAUCCAAUGUUAUCACUUAUCAGAUUAAUAAGCUUCUCGUUUACCAUUAGGGGGGUCAUUUUGGUCCACGGCUUGUAAUAUUUCGAUAAUAAAUCCUCAAUAUUAUCUAUUGAAAAUAUUCAAAUUAUUAUUUUUCAACUCAAGUUCGUAGCUGUAAAAGGUAUUAAUGAAAUAAUAAAAUCAUUGUAGAUUCGUAGGUGAUACAUGUUCUAAAUUAUUAUAGAUUAGAAAAUAUUGUUAGUUUCAUACUUGAUUUGAAUCAUUGGCAACUCAUUAAUAAGAAUAUACUAGUUCUAACAACAUCGAUCGCAACCUAAGUGACUUGAUAAGUAAAAGCUUGUGAUUCCAAAUAUAAAAUAUAUAGCUUGUGUUGGAUCAAUCAUUAGUUUUAGUGAUUGAUCCAACACAAGCAGAUUUGGUUCUUUCUUUGGAUUGGAUUGAUUUUGCAAUACACUCCAAUUAAAGGAGUUCCUCAGCUUUAUGGCUCGUUGCUGUCACGUGGGCCCAGUUGCUUUAGCUUGCAACAAGAGUUAAGUGUCUCUAGUAAAUAAUUAAAGUACGUACUCAAUAGAAGAAAAUUUGGAACCUUCUAUCUUUUAGUGUGACCCUAAAAAUGAGAUUUCGAUUAUUACAAGUAGAAGUUUCAAUUUCGUAUUUCUAAUUAUAAUGCAUAGAGUAACUACUAAAAAGAUUAUCAAAUAGUGUUUCUUCUAAUCGCACUAUUACAGAAUAUAUCUAAUAGGACGCCAAAAUAAACUUAUAUCUACUUUGGGCAAGCUUAAAAGUAAUUUUUUUUUCAUGUGAAAUUUAUACUUCCAUCUUCCUGACUCAAUAUGUAACAUGUUGGCAAAAGUUAUAAGAGAACAAAAAAAAAACAAUGUGUGCCAAAAAUUCCACAUAUCAUAGCAGCAAAAUCCCUCUAGAUUAUAGUAAUAAAAAAAAAGGAAAAUGAAGAAUUAAUUCUUUAAACUUAAUUGAAGUUACAACAUAUUUUUCAUAGCCUUUUUUUUUUUGCUUUUUUGAGUUGAUGUUCUUCACAGUUUCCAUUAACUAUGAAACUCCGAGAAAAAAUAAAGUAUAUAUGUCUCUGCAAAACGUAAAUGAAACUUGGAAAUACAAAACUCAUUCUGCACACCGUUUAAUUAAUUCACACUUAAUUGUUAACAAUUAUACCACAUGAUAUAAAUCUCCCGAAUUUCUACACACCAAAACAAAUCCCCAGUAAACUCCGAUCUCCUCAUCACCGUAAUUGGCAUUUGAAUUGCCGCAGCUGCAAUUCGGUCGUAAAUCGAAGUACCAAAAUUUGGAACGAAAAUAUCUUCAAAAAAAAAAAAAUUAAGUAUACAUUUAGAAUACGAGAACAAUAUAUAUUCGAUUUACGACCGAGCUGUAAUUACGUCAAUCCAAAACACCUGCAUAUAUGUAUAAAUAUAAAUAAAUAUAUGUAUAUUUUUUUUAUUUUUAAUUUCUCAUGCUUUUUUUGCGGCGGCGAUGGAGUUCUUACAGUGGGCGAUGGCGGCCUGGAUGGCGCUCUGGAGCUCCUCCAUGGUGCUCUCGUCGGACGACGACAUGUUCAGCGACGUGGCUGAGAGGUGGCCGCUGUUGGUGGGCGACGUCCGCAUCGACGCGGGCGCCGAGAGCUGGCCGCCGGGGCGCCUCUUCUUGCGCCACGAGUGCUCCUUGUCCCUCGGGUUCAGGUGCCCGGAGAAGGAGUGCGGGCGCUGCCCGCGGCGCAGGUCGCGCCUCCGGUCCUUGUCCCCGGACAUGAACACGCGUAUGGGCUCCACCAUGCACUUCCUCAGCAGCCGGCCCACGUCGAACACCUUGUGUUUCCUGUCCUUCUUGCUUUUGUCCGCCUCCUCCUCGCCCAGCUUCUUCGGCUUGCCGAGGCCGAACAAGGAGGACAGGGACUUGGGCUUGGAGGGCUUCUCUUUGUUGUCGACGGCGUCGACGUUGUUGUUGUGGGUUGUUGUCGUCGUCGUCGUCGUUAUUGUUGUAGUAGCCGUUGUAAUUGUAGUGGCAGUGGUGGUGGCGGUGUGGGUGGAGGGGAGGGAGUAUUGGAGGGGGAGGAGGUGGCCGUGGAGGAAGAUGUCGUCGGCGGGGAAUAAGUCGAGGGAUGCGGUGGUGGCGGCGGAGAGAGGAGGAGGAGGAGGAGGAGGAGGAGGAGAAGGAGGUGAGGGGAUGAGGGAGAUGGUGAAGGAGAAGUCGUGGGAGGGGGAGGUGGUGGAGGAAGGGGGAGGGGGUGGAGGGGGGAGGCGCUCGGGUUUUGUGUUGUGGUUGUGGUUGUGGUGGUCUCUUCUUUCUCUCUCCCUNAUAUCGGAUGAUCUAGUUAGAGUAUUAUUUUUAAUCAAGCUUAUAAAUUUUAUUUUAUUUUUUGCUUAAUCUAAAUAUCAUGUGUCCACAUCCUUAUGCCAACCACGUACAUUCGUAGUUGUGAGAGAAAGGGAUGAGAGAGAGAGAGAGAGAGAGAGAGAGAGAGAGAUGUAAAGUAAGUGAUUUUAGGUUAGAGGAAUAGAGCCGGGUUUGUGGAGAAGUACUAAUCGUAUCGUAGUAGGAUUUAGCGUGUUGCGUUGCUCGUGUACGUUCCCGAUUAUGAUUCAAGGGACAUUUGAGAGAGAUGUUGCUUUGGAAUGAGAACAAAAUAGGAAGGGGAAGGGAGAGGGAGAGGGAGAGGGAGAGGUACCUGAAUGUGUUCGAGGUUGAUUCCCUCUCUCUUUCUUCUCUGGUGGUGUUGGUGUUGGUGUUGGUGUUGGUGUUGUGUUUUGGGCUCGCGGAGGGGGGUAUAUAUUGCUCUCGUGGUGUGUUACACUAAUCAACAGAUGCAUCAGAGUGUAGGCCAUAAUUUUACUAUAGAGAGAGAGAUAUGGUGGGAGGGAUUUAGUUCAAAUUUAGAGAGAAAUUAAGUACUCUUAAAAAGAAUAAUUUCCUGAUCCCUUGAGUCUAACCCAAUGUAGGCACAAUUAACAAUUGUGCUUAAAAAGAUGAUGACAAAAGAACUCUCCAAAUCCAAUCCCCCCUUGCUUUUAUAUAUUAAUUAAUUGACCCAGUUGUGUUUAAGUGAUCUCAUUGGAGCUAGGAAGAGUUACAAACCAAUUAGUUUCAAGUUCCCAAAAGUCAGCCUAUUGGACUUCAAUUGGAAAAUCAAAUUAUUUUUACUUAAUUAAUUCUCGCUCAAUGCUAAUUAAAAAUGUGCACUCAAUCUCUUUGCUUAUUGACUUUUUGUAUUUACAAGAAACAUUUUGUUUUCCAAACAUAUCCAUGAAUGCUAUCUCUACUGCUCACCAUAUUCAAGGUCUGGCGAAAGAGUGGACCGAUUUUUGCAGAGUAGGGUGACGUUGGUUCUGCUACUCCCUUUGGUUCGGACAAAUGUUUUUGCUUCUUCUUUUUCGCUCUUUUUUUUCUAACCCCAUUCUUCUUCGUUUUGUCUUUCUGAGGCCCUAGCUGCUUCAUUCUAUAUAACUAAGUUCAUUUACCUAAUGAAUGAAAUAGCUAGCCUUUCUCUCUCUCUCAAAAAAAAAAAAGAAACAUUUUUUUUGCUUGCUUGUAAAUUUUGCUUGGUACUAAAUGGUUUUGCACCCAAAGAUUCAUGCAUGGUUUUACUUCCAAAAUUUAAUUAAUUGUUUAAAUUUCCUCAUGUUCAUGCAUGGUUUAUAAUAUUUCCUCAAAUUUAUUUAAUCGCAUACCACCCGAGCCAUUAUCAAGCCAGGUUGGUGAGACAACCGUGGUGGGGUUCUUUCUUUUUUUUUUUUUCCUCUCAUUUUUGCCCCUUUUUUUUCUCGCAUAAAAUCAACGUCAUUGCCUAGUCGACAACUUUUUUAGUUUUUUUCUAUCAAAUUAAUCUCUCUAAUAAAUUUAGUAUAAGAACGUAUUCUGUACUGACGAUUCUGUUAGGUUGUGAAUUUGAUUCGAACUUUCCACAUUAUUGAGAACUACGCAUAAAACUAUUAAUAUAGAAAACACCCAAACGAAAUGCAUGCCAUAUUGCUUUUUUGUUGAUUUUGUGGCGAAAACUUUUUCUCUAGCUUAUUUUUAUUAUUUAUGGUUAUGUUUAAAACUUAUCUAAUUAUUACGAAAUCACAUGAUAAACUUUUUAAUCUAUGCAUCUAAUUAAGACAAGUUAAUUAGUAGCACGAGUGUGUUAAUUAAUUAGCUAAAGAUGAUCUUCUAAAAGAGAAGUUUUAUUAUUUAAUUAUUUGUUUAUUUAAUUUCUUUGAGAAAAAGGGAAAAAAAGAAAUGAACAUGAACUAAAUCUAAGCCGUCCCCACGUCCACAUGGGAACGAGAUAUUCUCCUUCCAUGGUACGACCAUUUUUUUGUUCCUUAGCACAUAAUGCAUGUCCCAUGGUCCCUCCCCUGUUUAAUUAGCUUAAUUCCCAUUAAUUAAUUAAUUAACAAGGUAUAUGUGCUUUUUUAUUAUUUGUUUAAUUACUGAUUAGCUUAUAAUGCGUUCUUGUCUGAUACAAAAUAAGGUGUUUCUCAAAAAACAAAAAAGAGAUAAAAAAAAAAAACACCAAGGUUUAUAUAUAUAUUUUUUCUGUUAUUACCAAAGUGAUUUAUAGCUUGUAAAAAAUAUAAACAAAAAUUGUUUAUAUUGUCUUUUAUAGUUUUUAUUUACUUAUUUUCGUUCUAACAAAAUAUAAUUAACUUUGAUGGUUCUCUCCAAUUUAUUAUUAUUAUGUUUUUAAAAAAUACAUGUUUCUCUAUUUAAUCAGGUAACGCUUAGUAUUUGAUACUACUCCUUUUGGAAAAAAAAAAAGAAAAAAAAGCAUAAAAAAAGACACUUGACACGCAUUUGAAUAUGGACAAAUCCAAAAUCGAAUUAUCACAAGAGCAUAUGUGCUCGUGCGCACGUGCGUGUGAUUGCGAGAGAAAAAGAGAGAAAGCACUUCGGAUAGCUGCUGCAAAGGAAUUUGACAAAAAAAACACUGUUGAAGAAAAUUUUUUUUUUUUUAAAUAAUGAGAUUGUUUAAUUCAACAAAUGUUUACUUUGGAGUUCCUAAUUUUUAUUUUCUGAGUCGAGCGAAAAACUUUCUAGAGGUCUACGGCGGAAGCGCAGGGCUUAAACUUGUAGAGCUAGGAGUGCAAUCAGUCUAAUAUUAUUUGAUAUUUGAUGAAACUAUAUUCGCAUAUAUAUAUAUAUAUAUAUAGAGUAGGGCUAGAAUACUUGUAAAAGUAUCAUGGGGGUGAUACUUUUUAAACACUAAAAAACUAUAGUAAGCCGAUCACUAGCUUCCCCGAGUUUUAGUUAUUAAAAUUACCAGCAUCACUCGGCAAACGUUAAAAUUGCUAUAUCUUUAUAAGUUUAGUACACUUUAAAACUAUCUUUUAAAAAAUAUGAUAUAUUUUGUUCUAAUUAUAGAAACUAGUCUUUAAAAUUACAGGAUAGCAGUGUAAAACAUUUUAAAAAUAAAAAUCGGUAACUAAAACUAAAGGAAACUAGUGUUCCGUUUACUAUAGCUUUUUAGUGUUUUAAAUAAAAGAUCUAGGAAGUUUAUGAGAUCUAGUUCAGAUUACCUCGGCUAACAGCUAAGCUUUUAGGGUUAUAGCUUUUGCUGAAUUUUUAUGCUUCCUGAGACAGGAAAGCCUUCGUAUAGUCGGAGUGAGACUAUCGAAUAACUCGUUAGAUAAAGCAUAUAUAUUAAGAUAAUGUAAUAAAUAUCCAUUGAAACAGAAAUAUAAAUAAAAAUGUUUUAAAAUAACGAUUUCAGAUAGGGUUUAUUGAUCGGAUAAACUCUCAUGUUUUAUAUCAUUCUAUAAAUUACGUUAUAAAAGAGAAUACGUAUCCCGUUAAUUAUGUUCUCCAUUUCACGUCCCUCAAAAGAUAUAAACUCGGAUUUUUUUAACUUCGUUACUUCUAUAUAGUACAUGGAACCCCCCUUUUUUUAAACUUAAUGUGAAAUGAUAUAAAAUGAAAACAUAAUAAAAAUAAACGAUAUAAUCUCAGGCCGAUGAUACGAUAGCUAUCGUACCUCGCGAAGCACGAUGUUUCAACAAAAGCUACUACGCCGAAGGUUUAGCUGCUAGUCGAGGCAAUUUGAACUAGAUGUGAUAACUUUCAUAAACCUUUGAUUUAAAGUCUAAAAAAGCUAUAGUAAACUGAUCACUAGUUUUCUAGAGUUUUAACUGUUAAAAUUACCGGCUACACCACACAAAACUCAAAUUGCCACAUUUUGUUAGGUUUACGCUACUUUUAAAAUAUCUUUUAAGAAAAGUGAUAAAUCUCAUUCUAGUCAUAUAAACUAGAACUUAAAUUUAGAAAAUAGUAGUAAAAAAUACUCUAAAAAUAAAAGUCGGUAAGUUAAAAUCUGAUGAACAAACUAUCCAUUUACUAUAGCUUUUUAAUACUUUAAAUUAAAGAUUUAUGAAAGUUAUCAUAUCUAGUUCAGAUUACCUCGGCUAGCAGCUAAACUUUCGGCGUAGUAGCUUUUGUUAAACCAUCGUACCUCGGGAGGCACGAUGGCUAUCAUAUCAUUGGAUCAAUAUAUAUAUAUAUAUAUAUAUAUAUAUAUAUAUAUCUCACUCCGAUGAUACGAUAAUCUUCGUGCCUCGGAAGGCAUGAAGGUCGAGCAAAAGCUACAACGCUAAAAGCUUAGCAGCUAGCCGAGACAAUUUGAACUAGAUCUCAUAAACUUCAUGGAUCUUUUAUUUAAAAUACUAAAAUGCUAUAGUAAACGGAUCACUUGCUUCCCCGAGUUUUAGUUGCCGACUUUUAUUUAUAGAAUGUUUUACAUUAUUAUACUGUAAUUUUAAAAUUUAGUUUUUAUAACUAGAACAAAAUAUAUCAUAUUUUUUAAAAGAUAGUUUUAAAGUGCACUAAACCUAUAUAGAUGUGGCAAUUUGAACGUUUGCCGAGUGAUGCCGGUAACUUUAAACAACUAAAACUCGGGUAAAUUAGCGAUCCGUUUACUAUAGUUUUUUAUUAUUUUAAAUAAAAGACCCAUGAGAUUUAUGAGAUCUAGUUCAAAUUGCCUUGGCUAGCUGCUAAGCUUUCAGCGUUCUAGCUUUUGCUCUACCUUCGUGCCUUCCGAGGCAUGAAGGCUAUCGUAUCAUCGGAGUGAGAUAUAUAUAUAUAUAUAUAUAUAUAUAUAUAUAUAUAUAUAUCUUAAUCCGAUGAUAUGAUAGAUAUCAUGCCCUCGAGGGCAUGAUAUCACAACAAAAGCUAGAAUCCCGUAAGUUUAGUUGCUAGCUGUGGCAAUUUAUACUAGAUCCCAUAUACUUCAAGAAUCCUUAUUUUAAAAUCAAAAAAAGUUAUAGCAAAUGAAUCAUUUAUUUAAUACAGUUUUACCUGCCACCCUUAACUUAUGAGAAAUUUUAAAUUCGUAUCCUAAAAAUUUAAGUUCUAGUUCUUACAAUUAGAAUUAGAUAUAUCAAAUUUCAUAAAAGAUAGUUUUAAACUUCUUUAAAUCUAAGAAGAUGUGGCAAUUUGAGGUUUGAGCAGUAUUAUCGAUAACUUUUAACUGUUAAAACUUUACAAAACUAGUAUUUCAUUUGCUACAGCUUUUUUAUAUUUUAAAAUAAAGAUUUUUGAAAUUUAUCGGAUCUAGUCAAAAUUGCCACACCUAGCAACUAAACUUACGGACUUCUAGCUUUUGUUGUGAUAUCAUGCCCUCGAGGGCAAAUAUCAUCGGCCUGAGAUAUAUAUAUAUAUAUCUCUCUCUCUCUCUCUCUCUCUCUCUCUCUCUCAACUCGAUACUAUGAAAAUAUUCAUAGUGGUAGUACUACGAUAAUUCAAAAUUCGGUAACCUAGAUGAAAAACUAAUAAUUAUCGGGAACCUAAUUUGUGAUAAGGUGGAUGGUGGUGGAUGGUGGUGGAUGGUGGUAGUAGAGUUGGAGUGUAGAGAGGUAGGUUCCCGAUUUUUGUAUGNNNNNNNNNNNNNNNNNNNNNNNNNNNNNNNNNNNNNNNNNNNNNNNNNNNNNNNNNNNNNNNNNNNNNNNNNNNNNNNNNNNNNNNNNNNNNNNNNNNNNNNNNNNNNNNNNNNNNNNNNNNNNNNNNNNNNNNNNNNNNNNNNNNNNNNNNNNNNNNNNNNNNNNNNNNNNNNNNNNNNNNNNNNNNNNNNNNNNNNNNNNNNNNNNNNNNNNNNNNNNNNNNNNNNNNNNNNNNNNNNNNNNNNNNNNNNNNNNNNNNNNNNNNNNNNNNNNNNNNNNNNNNNNNNNNNNNNNNNNNNNNNNNNNNNNNNNNNNNNNNNNNNNNNNNNNNNNNNNNNNNNNNNNNNNNNNNNNNNNNNNNNNNNNNNNNNNNNNNNNNNNNNNNNNNNNNNNNNNNNNNNNNNNNNNNNNNNNNNNNNNNNNNNNNNNNNNNNNNNNNNNNNNNNNNNNNNNNNNNNNNNNNNNNNNNNNNNNNNNNNNNNNNNNNNNNNNNNNNNNNNNNNNNNNNNNNNNNNNNNNNNNNNNNNNNNNNNNNNNNNNNNNNNNNNNNNNNNNNNNNNNNNNNNNNNNNNNNNNNNNNNNNNNNNNNNNNNNNNNNNNNNNNNNNNNNNNNNNNNNNNNNNNNNNNNNNNNNNNNNNNNNNNNNNNNNNNNNNNNNNNNNNNNNNNNNNNNNNNNNNNNNNNNNNNNNNNNNNNNNNNNNNNNNNNNNNNNNNNNNNNNNNNNNNNNNNNNNNNNNNNNNNNNNNNNNNNNNNNNNNNNNNNNNNNNNNNNNNNNNNNNNNNNNNNNNNNNNNNNNNNNNNNNNNNNNNNNNNCCGUACUUUUGAAAGCAUAGGAGCCUAGCUCUAUAUAUAUAUAUAUAUAUAUAUAUAGAUAUAUAUAUAUAUAUAUAUAUAUAUAUAUCUCAGGCCGAUGAUACGAUAGCCAUCGUGCCUCGCGAGGCACGAUGGUUCAACAAAAGUUAAUACGCCGAAGGUUUAGCUGCUAGCCGAGGCAAUCUAAACUAGAUGUGAUAAUUUUCAUAAAUCUUUGAUUUAAAGUCUAAAAAAACUGUAGUAAACUGAUCACUAGGUUUCUAGAGUUUUAACUGUUAAAAUUGCCGGCUACACCACACAAACACUCAAAUUGCCAUAUUUUGUUAGGUUUACGCUACUUUUAAAAUAUCUUUUAAUAAAAGUGAUAAAUCUCAUUCUAGUUAUAUAGACUAGAAGAGAGAGAGAGAGAGAGAGAGAGAGAGAGAGAGAGAGAGAGAGGCUUCUAUACUUUCGAAAGUACGGAAUCUUCCCCACUCGUAAGUUGUUUUCGAUGAUGGAGCAUCCGAUUCGGCGAUCAAUUCCGUUAGACAUGAUCUGCGCUAUUGGAAUUAUUUAUAAACCAAAUUUUAUAAUUUUUUGACUUCAUUUACCUAGUGAAUGAGUAAGCUCAAAAUGAACGGCUAAAAAUAAAAAUCUCAAAAAAAAUAGUGAUAAAAGACUCAAAUUUCAAAUCGAAAGUAUUGUUUUUACUCUUGAUGUUAAAUAAAAUUUUCUAUUAAAGUUUCCUGUAAUUUGAAUUCUUGUACACCGUUGAACUUCAAAACGCACCACAUCGGCCGUUAAAAUAGUCAUUUUUGAGACUCUUUGAUCACUUGAUAAAUGAUGUCAAAAAAAUAUGAAAUUUGGUUUCUAAAUAGUUUUAAUUGUAUAGAUCAUGCCUAACGGAGCCAAUCGCCGAAUGGGAUGCUUCAUCAUAAAAAAUAACUUACAAGUACGAAAGCCUCCGUACUUUCAAAAGAAUAGGAUAUAUAUAUAUAUAUAUAUAUAUAGAGAGAGAGAGAGAGAGAGAGAGAGAGAGAGAGAGUUAAGCUCCUAUGCUUUCGAAAGUACGGAAACCUCUGUACUUGUAAGUUGUUUUCAAUAAUGGGACAUCCGAUUCAGCGAUCGGUUCCGUUAGACAUGAUCUACGCUAUUAGAACUAUCUAGAAACCAAAUUUUAUAAAUUUUUUACUUCGUUUGUCUAGUAAACGAGUAGCCUCAAAAUGAACGGCUGAAAAUUAAAAUCUCAUAAAAAACAGUGAUAAAUGACUCAAAUUUCAAAUCGGAAGUAAUGAUUUUGCUAUUGAUGUUAAGUAGAAUUUUCUAUUAAAUUUUUAUCUAAUUUGGAUAUUUUUACACCGUUGAACUUAAAAACGUGCCAUAUCGACCGUUAAAAUAGUCAUUUUUGAGACCUUUUGAUCGCUUGGUAAAUGAUGUCAAAAAAUUAUAAAAUUUGGUUUCUAAAUAGUUCCAAUAUGGUGGAUUAUAUUUAACGGAGCCGAUCGUCGAAUCGGAUUUCCUAUCAUCGAAAACAACUUACAAGCACGAAAGUUUCCGUACUUUCGAAAGUACAGGAGACUUACUCUAUAUAUAUAUAUAUAUAUAGUAGGGCUCCUGUGCUAUUAGGAGCACAACAGCCCUUGUGCUCCUAAGUUCCUAACCGCUCAUCAAAUUUGAUGGGUGGUUAGGGUGAGAGAGAAAAGAGAAAUUGAAGAGAAAUUUAAGGAGAAGAAAAAUUAAGAAACCCAAUUUCUCUUCAAUUUCUCUUCUUCCUUUCACCCUAACCACCCAUCAAAUUUGAUGGGCGGUCAAGAACUUAGGAGCACAAGGGCUGCUNAGCAUAUAUAUAUAUAUAUAUAGAAUUAUGCUACUAUACUAUCAAUAGUACCAAGCCCUUAGUACUAUUGACUUUUCGGCCGUUGGAUGAAUAGAUGUGCGGUUAGAAUGAUAGUGAUCCCCUAGGGUUGAGUGGGUGGUUGGUUUAAUAGUAUAAUCUAACGGGUGAAAAUAAUCAAAGGGUCGAUCUAACGGUAGAAAAAUCAAUAGUACCAAGGGCUUGGUAUUAUCGAUAGUAUAGUACCUGGACUCUAUAUAUAUAUAUAUAUAGGCCAUGGCUACUAUAUUAUUAUGAGUAUUGGAGCCCUCGUAGAUGUGUCGAAUGCUACUAUAUAUAUAUAUAUAUAUAUAUUGUGAAUUCAGAUGUAGAUGUGUCGAAUGCUAAAUAUUUGUUACUAUAUUUGCUAAAUACGGAUUCAAAUACAAACGGAUUUAUUUUUUCAAUUUCGAAUAUUGAUUGAAUUUAUAUUCUAAUAUUAUUCGUAUAAUAAUAGUGAUUAAUAUGCGCAUAUAAAUAUAAACUAGAAUUGGCAAUAAUAUAACUAAAACUCAAAACAUUUUGUAUUCAAAUUUUUAUAUAUCUAUAUUUUAUUAAAUAAUAUUUAAGAUUUGUUUAACCAAUAGAAAUAUAAUUUUAAUAUAAAACUGAUAAUAAAAUAAACGAAAAUUACAAUAAACCUUCUUAAUUAUUCCCCCCCACAAUAUAAAUAUUAACCUCGUUUUUAUCUGAUCCCCACAAAACCCCAAUUACAUUGCAAAUCGAAAUUUAUAAUUAUAUUUUAAUCUAAAUUUAAAUUUAAAACUACCAUCUAAGUUACACCACCGUAUUUUUUUAUUUUUCCAUAAUAUAUAAAUUUAUAAUAUAUAUUGAUUUUAGGAUAUCCGAAUCGGAAUUCAAAUAUUUUGAUGUAUCCAUUUACGGAUCUGAAUUAAAAAAUAUUAUAAAUAUAGCAUCCCAAUUUGACUUAGACAGUGCUAACCACUUUCACACCUAGUUAGACCCAAAAAUAUACAUGAUUAAUUUGAGUCAACAUUCUUUCUAAUUCUAACUAAGGUUUAAUUUAGCCACUUAUAUAUUUAGGUUUUUUUUUUUUUUUUGUAAUAUUUGUAGAGUACUUUUGGUGUAUUUGUGAUUAAGAUCUUUUAAAGAGAAACAUAUUUUUGAUUAAAUGAAAUCUCUCAUUUGUCUCUACUCAUGGAUGUAAAUUAGUGGCUUGAUCACGUAAUUUACUUGUAAGUUUUACUUUCACCUCCUGUUUUUCAGUUCUCUUCAGUAUAUAAUUUUUGUUCAACAAAUAAGAUUUAUUUUUAGAACUGUCAUAGUAUAUAUCUACUGUAAAUUACACUUCAGCUAUUUUUAGGAGCCACCCUAGCAAAUUUGAACCUAAAGUUGUCCAAAAAACCCAAUAUAUCAUACUCGAUCCGACCCUAUCGAACCCGAACAAAAUCCGAUAAAAAAUGGAUAGUAUACGAGUAAAAAAAAUUAUCUAUUAAAAUUUCGGGUACGGCUCUAGAUAUUUUAUACCCAUAUCCGACUUAAACCCGAUUCGAACCGGACCUUUUAAUUGGUAAGGUUCGGAAGAGUUUCCAAAUCUAGACCCGGAACCGGACUCCGACUCAGUGAAAUAUUUGAUAGUAAAUAAAAAAAAUUAAAGUUGAGGGAUCAAUUUUAAUAGAACUUAUAAAUGAAGGGUCUCUAUAUAUUUUCAUCCUAGUGAAAACUUUAGUCGUUCUAUUUACUCCUUUUUAAAUUUUUUAUUUUACUUAUUUUUUAAAAUUCUGUCUGUUUAUUGCUUGAAUUUUUUUUUUGAACGAAUUUUAUUGGGAUGUGCGCAACUAAUUAGAACGUGAAUUUUUUAUAGUGAGAGGUCUAUGGUUUGUCCAUAAACUAUUUAAUAAAGUUUAUAAAUAAUAUAUGCAUACGAUAAUCCGUAACCGAUCCAUACCUGGUCGUAAGCGGGUAGUCAAUCCAGAUCCGUUCAAAUAGGCCCGAUGACUAUAUUAUUAACUUAAGUAUCCAAUCUCGAACCGGCUCCGAAGUUAAACGGAUAGGAUAUAUUUUUUUUUUCUAUUCAUUUUUUUUAAAGAUAUGGGUAUAUAUAAUAUAUCAACUAUCCAGAUUCGAUCCGGUCUAAGGACACCUUUAUUUGAACCAGAUAAUAAUUAUAUAAACAGAGCCCAAAAAUACUUUAACUGGAAAUAUUAUUUAGUAGUAUUAAGAGCAUCUUCUGAGCCUUACAUCAUGAAUUCCUAGGAUAAGUAGAUAAGAGUAUUCAUGUACACAUGGCUAGGGUUGGUCAAAAUCAGACAAACAGAAACCAGCUCAUUUGGCCCCACACAAGCAUCGAAAAAGCAAACCUAUCUAAGAUUUCCAUUUGGAUUGACCUGUCGCCUAGGUAAAUUGAGCUUUGCCCUUUUUUUUUUCUUUUUCUUUUUUUUUCUUUUUUCAGUUAAGCACUUGUUUGACCUUAUUGUUUAUAUUUAUAUGGGUAUAUCAAAUUUGGAGAUUCUACUCUAACUACAAAAGAUAUAACAUUUGAUGCUAGACCUUCUCAUCUUGAUGUAGAAUGAAGCUGUUAUUAAGAAGUCUUAAUAUGAAUAAAUACCUUUUCAGAACAUGCACUGUAUUCUACAAUAAAGACUUUAUUUAAAGAGUUCUUAUUGGAGCUAUGUGGAUUGACAAACUGUCCCCUAAUAGACUGUGGAUAUGCUGGUAAGCCAUAUAAUAUAUUUCGAUUGUAAAACAAAAAAGAAAAACGCAAGUCUCCUGAAAUUCAUUAUAGAGAAGAGAAACUACCACUCAAAGAAUCAGCAGCCGACUCAAAUAACAAUACAAUAUGUUAACACAAACUAAUCAAAAUUUUUUCUUCAUAGUAUUUAUAUUGUCAUAUAUAUAUAUAUAUAUAUAUAUAUAUAUAUAUAGAGUCCGGCCGGAGUACUAUCGAUAGCACUAAAGAUUUGGUGCUAUCGAAUUUUUCACCGUUAGAUUUAACCCUAUGAUUAUUUUUACCCGUUAGAUUAUACUAUUCAACCAACCACUCACUCAACCCUAGGGGGCCCACAUUAUCCUAACCAUCCAUUUCUCAAUCCAAGAGCUAAAAAAUCAAUAACAUAAGUAGCUUGGUGCUAUUGAUAGUAUUCCAGCCUAAUUCUAUAUAUAUAUAUAUAUAUAUAGACCUAGUCUACUGUAUCAUUAAUAACAUCAAGUCAUUAAUGCUGCUAAGUUUUCAGUCCUUAAAUGGAGGUGAUUAGGAUAAUAGUGAUCUCCUAUCUAGGGUUAGGUGGUUGGUUGAAUAGUAUAGUCUAAUGGACGAAAAUGAUUAAAGUGGUAGAUCUAAUUGUGGAAAACUUGGUAACAUCAAGCAGACACUCAACCCUGGCAGAUCACUAUUAUCCUAACCUCACAUCUCUUCCUCCAAAAAUCAAAAACCUAAUAAUAUAGUAACCUAAUUCUAUAUAGGUAUAAAUAUAUAAAAAGCAGUAGAGGAAAGGGACUCAACAUUUUAUGAGGACCAUUCCUUUUCUGUGGGGGUGUGUACAUUGGCCGGGCAUGUUGGUGGUGCGUGCAUAUCAGAGUCGUUGAGCUGUUACAUGCAACGUCGCGGUUUUGAUUAUUGGCCUCCAUGGCAAGGGAAAAAAAAAAAAAAAAAAAAGUCUAGAAUGCAUUAAUUAUAUUGCUCUAUUUUCAAUUUUCAAUUAAUGAGAUUGUCCUCUUAAAUUCACCCCUCCCAUUAUUAUUAAUAAAAGUAUAUUUUUAUUAUAUUUAUUUUUUAUAAAAAAUAAAUAUAUUUAUUUUUUAUAAAAAAUAAAUAUAAUUGACUUAUUACCCAUAAUAUGGUGUAAGUAUAGUACCGAAGACUUCCUCCAUGGCGGGGCCAUGCUUUUUUAACUCGCAUUUUUAAGGGAUUUAGUUGUCAUAUUCUUCUACGUGUCUCUCUCACCGCUACAAUUUCCUGUCCACCCGCACGUGCAACACAAAUAUUUGAUUUAUUUUCCGUUACAUAUCCUAUUUCGAAAAAAAAAAAAAAAGGUUAUACUCACUGUUAAAUUUGUGAUUAAACAGUAAUAAAUAAAAUAAAAUUACGACAAAAAUAUGUAAAAUCAUAUUUUUCUGUUUUUCAAUAAAAUCAUAUAAUAUUUUUGUCAUCAUAUUGUAAAUGGAGCCUAAACUUGAUUUGGUACAAGUGUUUUUUUUUUUGGAAAAUUGGCUGCAAUAAAAAUAAACUUUGAUAUUCCUCAAAAGUAUGGGGGAUUAAAAAAAAAAAACAAUGAUAUUCAACAAAAAGCUGCAAAAAAAUUUUCUAUACGUCUUCAGAUUCACAAACAGAUGAUACAAUGACGCCGUUUAGUAUCUUAUUAAUUAACCCCAAAAACUCUGGUGAAUAUAAAAGUUUAUAUCAGAUUAAAAUGCGAAAAAGUUACUAAUAUGGUCUGCAUUUAUAUAUAAAAGGCUCUGCUCCGUGUUUUGUUCAUAGACAAGAGGGCAUUCUCACAGUCACUGGACGCAGUACAAUGCCAAAAGAAUCUCAGCAAAUACAACGACAAUGUUAAUCCAGAAGUAUUGUGUAUAACAUGAAAUCAAUUGGCCAGUUGGCUCCGAAUCCAUCCUUGGGUUUAACCCAGAAAAUCGAAAUAACCUCGCCUAACCCUAUCCGGCUUACCUCUACAAGAUGAUUCAUAUACAUGGCAACGAUCCUAGGGAAGUGCCUUAGCUAUCCCAGGGCCUUUCUUUAUAUAAUAAGGCGAUCAAUUCGUACCUGUUAAUGCCUCGUAGAAUCACUUUGAUCAACUAACGUAGCAUCAAUAGAAAGCACAGGGGACUAGCUCUUCUAUCGGCCGGGCAUAAAUACAUGUAUAAAUGACGCCUCCAUACGCUUCUAGCAUAAGCUAAAGUUAGACCAAAAUAUAAUUGGCAUCCCAGAAAAGGAGAAUCGAAUGGAGACCCUCGAAAAAUAUCCUUUUUUUGUCAGCUAUGAAUGUCUACAGGAACUAUGACAAUAACUAGUCACUUGAAGCACUCUUACUAGAUGCGGAAUCUGAGUAAAAAAGAAAAGGCAAAGAGUGAAUAAUUAGUUUGCAAAUAAAAAGGAGAGGAAAAAAAAAAUUGAAAAUGAGCUAGCAACAAUAUUAAACCUCUUGAUCGCUUUUUGCCCUCCAUUGCUUCCUUCUUUUCCUGGCAACUUAGGCAAAGGAAUGGACCGUCCCAGGGUCGCAAUUUGCCAGGCCGUGAUGAAUCGGCAUGCACAGAAAUGCCCUCGCCAGGUUUCAUCUCAAUUUGGCAAAUCGCACAUAUGAAAAGCUUGAACAUGUUCCUAAUUGGAUAUUCUGCUUCUAGCCUGCAGAUAGAGCAAUAUGUGUCAAUCAUUUGGCACUAAAGAAAGCUUUUAUUAUUUAUUUGAAGGGAAACAACAUAUUAGGAAAUGAAGAUUGACAAAUGAAACUUGGCUAACGCCUGUUUGCCCCUUCUGAAGGGCGUAGGGCUGUUUGAGUAAUGUUACUAAAAGCACCAAGCUAAAAUCCCCUCAAAAGCUUCUUCAUAAAGCAGAGUAACAACCUCCAACUUAGAAAUUCCUGCUUUGUGGCCCCAAAAUCUAGUCUCAACUUUCCACCACAGUAGAAGUUUUGUAUUCACCAAGCACUCUAUUAGAGGUGUCCAUAGCCGAAAGCACAAGUAGAAACUAGGACAAACAGGCAGUAAAUAUGAUUAUAGAGACUGCCUACUUUCUAAUAGAGACCAGGUUAAAUGAUGAUAACAGAGAGUACAGCUAUGAAAAAGAUACUAACCGUUGGGAAAGCAUUGCAGAUCCAUCCUCAAAUAUUUCCUCCACCACAUCGGGCUCAGAAUAUUCCCUAUCUACAUUAGAUGAUGACUCGGACGAUUUUCUCCUAAACAUAUUUUUGAACACCCCCAUCCCUUGCUUCUUUGGAGGUGGAACAGUUGGAGUUAUUUUCUCCGGAGGUAAUAUGUCAACUACUAUACAAGUGGUAUCAUCCCUCAGCCCUUUUUCCUGCACAGCUUCCUGCAAAUGAUCAUCUCUACUAUAAUUAAAGGAUUCAAUGAAUGUGGAGCUACCAAUACAUAGCCAAAAUAUAAGGAUAAAGUACGUUGACAAUAUGACUCGCUGCGACAUCUGCUGGCAACCCACGGCAGCAGCUAAGAGCCAUUUCACUGGACAAAGCAUCCCACACGCCAUCGCUUGAUAUGAUAAGCCGACCUCCAGCGUUUGAUAGCUGUAAUAUACAUAUAAAAAUUAUGAUUCACCAGUGCAAUCUCAGUGCAAUAUAUAAUGCAGAAAGAGUGAAAAUCAUAGUAGAUAUCACUCUACAUAUAAAUAGUUGUUGUAAGAGUUGGAUGCGGCUAUCUGCUCAAAAAGAAUUGGAAGUGGGCCAUGUGGCUAGCAUCUGUGAUGCUUAACUAAUGGAUUGAAUAUUCCAUUCAUGGAUAAGGGAUCCAGCUAGCAAUUGGAAGGGGCACUACAUAGAUGACCUCUCAAUUCUAUAUAGUAGCAUAAUAGAUAAACAUAUAAAAAGAGGAAUCGCAAAAUUAAAAGCCACUUAAAAAGCGACCAUUCUCUUCAUCUUCCUGCUCUACCCUCAACCAAAGUCUCUGUCAAAUGUGAGCUGCGUUAUAUACAACACCUUAAAAGACGUGCAUAAAUAUGAAAAAAAUUUCAAAUAUGCAUUGUUGCUACGUGUCAUUUCAAUGAAACAGUCUAGCAAAUAGACUAGGCACUACCAGAGCAAACAGAAGAUAGGAUUAAACAAGCAAAUUUUGACAGCAAUGGAGUGAAUACGUACAAGCAUCGAGCAUCGUUUAAUUGCAUGGUGGAUUAUAAUAUCUAGGCAAACAUGUAGGUCCUGUUAUAUUUAUAGUUAACAGACCUUUACUUGCUUCACAUGCGGAACUGGAACAAUAAAUUCACCAACAUCCAAAUCUCCAAUUGAUCGUGAUAGGCACAAGCCACCUGGCCAACAUCGCAGCGGACCAAUCUGAAAAAUCAGAAAAUAGACACUUCAUAAUUCAGAAAGCUUUCCUAAAAAAAUAAGCCUCAACAUUGCUGCAUAGAUGGAUGACAGCCUACUUAGGGAAAGCAAGAAUAAACAAUGAUCAAGGUGUCAAAGGUUCAAACAAACCUCAGCACCGCCAACAACAUUUAAUCUUCCAACCUCACCUCCACUUGCUAUUAUACGUUCCACCCUGCAGGGCAGCAAAUAUGGGUAAAAUUAGAUACUAAUAUCUGAAGAAACGAAAUCUAAAAAUCUAACAAAAAGUCAAAAGACUCGAAACCUACUCCUCUUCAUUAGCCUCUAGCCGAUGAUCAGCUGACAAAUAGUAAACUGAACCUUCAGCUGAUUCAAGUAUACAACGUGAAUCACCAACCGAUGCAACAGUUACAACCCAUCCGUCUAUUAUGACGAACGUCACGGUUGUCCCUGAAGUGUGAGCUGAAAGAGUCAAUAGUUAAUUUUCCAGAAGAGCAGAUCAAGGUAAGUAACAUUGAUCAACAACUAAUCAAAUACUCCACAAGAGUGAACAAGCAAGAACAUAAUGUGACGGUUUAUCAACAGACAUAGUUUCAACCCCUCAGAAAAUCUUAGAGAUUUAAUAACCAGUACUGUCAUGCUAACCAUAAUAAUGGUCACUUUCAAGUUCAAUCCAUAAUUUUAAAAAUAUAGAUAUACAAGAACUUUAAUCUAAAAGUGCAUGUGCACGCUGCAAAAAUGAAACCAUAGGAACCAUGACACCUUUUAGAAGAAACAGGCAUCUACUCAGUACAGAUAUGCACCUUUUGUUUGGAAAUCUUUAUCUGUUUUGACAAAUCCUGCAACCAAAGCUCGUGGAAGUGCAGCUAGCCAUUCAUCCCGGUUAAGAUCUGAAGGAAUGGCACUCACAAUAUUGUUCAGGAGAUUGUCCUUCGCAUAUAAUGCAGCUCCUGUUCCAUUAUGCCCAUCAAAUAGCUAGAAGAAAGGACAAAUUUGAUAAAAAUCAAUUAGAUAGUGCAAAAUUAACGUGACAGAGAUCUUCUGAGUUGAAUAUUUGCUCAUAGCACGCAAGAACUAGUAGGCAUGAAGUGCAAUUAAGCUCUGAGAUCUGGCGUGUGAUCAUAUGCUUAGACAAGAUAGUAACAAUUGCCUUUUUGUUCAAACAAGAGAGAAUCAUGCUACGUGAACAGAAAGAAACAGGAAAUAACAAGUCGAACAACGACAAUUUGUGUGAUGGGCCAACAUAAUGUUGGACAAAAAAUAUAUUGCUAACUAUGAAACAUAUAAUGAGCAAAUUAAUUAAUUACAUUAACAUGUCAUAUGGGGGACCAAAUACUAGAUAAGCAUUAAUUACAUCAAGAAGUACAAAAAUAAAGGGCAAAUAAUUGAUCGCCAUGCCACCAACAACCUAGAUUGUAGAGUAUACUCAAUAAAUGCAUUUCUAAAAUGCAGAAAGAAUAGCUCAAGAUUACAUUAGAUUGUGCCGACCACAUAAAAGGUUUCUCAACAACACUCACUGAGAAAUCAAAUGUCCAUUUGUAAGAGGUGCAGUAUCUGUACGAUUAAUACAUUUACUCCAUGGUAUAAGAUGGAUCAAACAGGUAGCAUUAACAAUGGAAGAUGAUCUUCCUAGAGUUUGUAAAGCCACUAAAAUCGCAUAGUAGCUUUAUUAAAAACAAUUUCUACUAGUUUUAGCACCUACAUUUACCUUUUUCCUUAGAAAAAAUAUUUGCGACUGGAUUCGGCCACCAUAUUACAUUUAAUAUAUAUGAUUAAAAGACAGGUCUACAAAAGAAAAAAAUUACGAAUAAGAUUAAAAAAAUUUUCAAAAAAAAAUAUAUAUAGAACCAACCAAUUCAAACCAUUCAUGUAUCAAAUAAAAAUCCAUGAUAUAUAUAUAUAUAUAUAUAUAUAUAUAUAUAUAUAUAUAUAUAUUAACAGGCAAUGUGAAUUAAGGUCGAGGAUGAAGAACACUUUAUAAAACUGUGACAACAUUUCUAGACGAUUCCUAACACAAUAUAUUCCACAAAACCCUUCAUUCCAUAACUUCUCCGAACAAAUCGCGCUCCCGAUAUACUACUAUGCAAUACACAUCGUUCUUGGCUCGUUAGGAUGUGUUGUGAAGAAGAGAGAGAGAGAGAGAGGAGAGAGAGAGAGAGAGGAGAUGGGGGAUAUACCGCGAAGACGGAGAAGUGGAGAGGCCUCGCGGGCACGCGCUCGCACUCGGUCUUGAGGAGGGUGAAGUCUUCCCCCUUUUGCUCUGGUUCGCCUGGCCGUGCAGUAUGUCCGGCCUCUCGAUCUUCUCGCUCGUCAGCUCCCUCUUCAGCAGCCACGCCAGCGGCACCAUCCGUUCCUCCGCCUUCGCCGCCAUCCCCGCCCCCAUCCUCUCUCUCUCUCUCUCUCUCUCUCUCUCUCUCCCUCCUCUUCUCCUACACUCUCCUCCUCCUCAACAGCAACAACAACAACAAUCUCGUUUCCCUUUCUCUAUUUCUCUCUCGCUCAACGCCUCUCCUCCCCCACAAUCUCCUCCUCUUCCUCAACGACAACAACAACAGCAACAAUGUCGUCUAUUUUGCUCUAGAUCGAAUCAAAAACAAGAAAGAAAAGAAAGAAAAAUCGAGCGGAGAAUCGGCGCUCACGCGCAUUCACCUCCCGGAGCGGAUUCGAGGGAUGGAUCGAUCGAUAAGAUGUUGAGCGAUCGAUCUCUUCACAUGCGGAGGAGGAUUCCACGGAUCGGUUACGUGACAGAGAGAGAGAGAGAGAGAGAGAGACGCGGAAAUGGUGCCACCCCUCCACGCGGAUUCGCCUCCCCCAAUUCGGGAAAUGCUCGGAAGCGAGGGUUAUGGAUCGAUGGGAGAGGAAGAAAAAAGGAAAGAAAGGUAAUUGAAAGGAAACGAAGCGAUUUAUUCUUUUUAGUAAUGCAUUUUUCUUUUUUUCUUUUCUUUUUCCCCCCUUUUUUUUUCCUCGCUUCGCAGAGAGAGAGAGAGAGAGAGAGAGAGAGACGAGGAGAGGAGGAGGCG